ensembl:lncRNA
CCCAGCCUUCUGAGCUGGGGGCCCGCAGGGUUAGCUCUGGUUGCUCUGGGCACUUGUGGGAGAGCAGGGUCAGAGCGGAGGGCAGGAGUUGGGGGCUGAAUGCUGGUGCCCACCCCAGCACACCCCGCGGUGGGCGAGGCCGCCCCUGCCUCCCUCUCCAAGGAGCAGACCACGAAGUCCGAGAAGCAGAGAGGGGAGAUGGGGAGGGAAUGGCAGUGGGGCUGCAGGGCACGCUCGGGUCAGCACUAACCGCUGGUGUAAAGGGACGAGUGGCCACUUCUGGCGGAACAACAGGCGGCGAUGGAAGGCAGCGCUCAGGACGUCAGCGGGCCUGCGGGGGACGCACUCACCAAGGACCAGCAGCACUUUCCCGCUAGGCGCCCGAUGCGCACUGCAGAGCUCAGGGUCCGGCAGCGCCUCGCAGGCCCGCACCCCGGGCUCUGGCCGCGCCCGAGUACACGUGCGCCUCAGGCCCCGCCCACAGGAGCCCUGGCCACGCCCCUCGCUCAACCACUGCGCGUCCCGUGGACCCUGAUGCGGUGAUCUCAGGAGACCCUCAGCUGCUGCGGUUCCUGGCUGAGUGAGGCCAGGCCCUCAGGCUCCAGCAUGGCCCUGCAAGACCACUGCUGCCCCCCUGCGGCCGUGCAGAGGAGGCUGCCCAUCCUGGCCUGGCUGUUGGACUCUGAAGAUGGACUUCAUCACUGGACUUUCAGUGGGGCUCAAGGUCAUUCCCCACGUGCUGGCCUGUGCUGAGGUGACCUGAUUCCUGCCCCAAGUGGCACCUGUGGCCCCCUUGGGUGCGGGUAGAAAAGAGGUCCCCUCAUCACAGCAGGUCACACUCAUGGAUGAUCGAGG